rnacentral:rRNA from 1 species
ACAGCAGUAGCCACGGGAAUACGUAGGUGGCAAGCGUUGUCCGGAAUUAUUGGGCGUAAAGGGCUCGCAGGCGGUUUCUUAAGUCUGAUGUGAAAGCCCCCGGCUCAACCGGGGAGGGUCAUUGGAAACUGGGAAACUUGAGUGCAGAAGAGGAGAGUGGAAUUCCACGUGUAGCGGUGAAAUGCGUAGAGAUGUGGAGGAACACCAGUGGCGAAGGCGACUCUCUGGUCUGUAACUGACGCUGAGGAGCGAAAGCGUGGGGAGCGAACAGGAUUAGAUACCCCCGUAGUCCCUGUCUCUUAUAC